UGCUUUCUGGAAGGAAAACCUUUUGGCACAUCAAGCCAGAGCUCUCUCCACAGCCCUGUGAACAAAGGGAGUCCUUCCAGCAGCACAGCUCUCCUGCUGUAGCCCCAGAAAUUACCAGGAAUGGAAGCAACAGUGAUGUGGGCCUGCAGAAGGCCAAACAGAAGACAGUUGAAGAGGAGGGUCAAGAUCAACAGUGUUGGAACCAUAUAUUGAAUCACAGGAAACCAGAAAGCAACUCCGAACACAGCAUCAUUCUGACGGCAUCUUACAAGCCAGUAGAUAAUGCCCAGCAGGGCUCAGCCUGGGCAGAAAGUCAAGACAAUAGAAAUGAGCCAUUCAGUGAUUUGGAUUCCUCCUCAAAAUCUUCCUCCUCCCAGUGCUGCCCCAGCCAGCUUGGGUACAGUGAGGGGCAGGUCAACCAGGAGCCUCCACUAUGAGGGACCAAGUGCUGGUCUACAGGACAUUUUGCUCUGAUCAGGUAAAAACAUCCCUCUUUUUACAUCAUGUGCAGGUCUUCAAGACCACCAUCUGAGCGGCCAAGAACACACUGUGCAGUGCCCAGGCAUCUGCUUUCAAAGACGCUCCAGAAAAUAAACUAUGAUCUCCCUGGUGCUAUUAAGGAGAG
rnacentral:lncRNA from 1 species